AUUGAACGCUGGCGGUAUGCUUAACACAUGCAAGUCGAACGGUAACAGGCCUUCGGGCGCUGACGAGUGGCGGACGGUGAGUAACGCGUAGGAAUCUGCCUCAUAGUGGGGACAACGUGGGGAAACUCACGCUAAUACCGCAUACGCCCUACGGGGAAAGCGGGGGAUCUUCGGACCUCGCGCUAUGAGAUGAGCCUGCGUUAGAUUAGCUAGUUGGUAGGGUAAAGGCCUACCAAGGCGACGAUCUAUAGCUGGUCUGAGAGGACGAUCAGCCACACUGGGACUGAGACACGGCCCAGACUCCUACGGGAGGCAGCAGUGGGGAAUAUUGGACAAUGGGCGCAAGCCUGAUCCAGCAAUACCGCGUGUGUGAAGAAGGCCCUAGGGUUGUAAAGCACUUUCAAUUGGGAGGAAAACCUGCCGGUCAAUACCCGGCAGCUUGACAUUACCUUUAGAAGAAGCACCGGCUAACUCCGUGCCAGCAGCCGCGGUAAU
rnacentral:rRNA from 1 species